rnacentral:lncRNA from 1 species
UGAUACGAUAAUUUUAUCAGGAAUUGUUCCAGAAAAUAGACACUCAAAACAUGACUACGGGACUGGGCAGCUCACAUAUUUGAAGAGCACGUGAAUAUCCUCCUUGCUAAGACAGGGCUUACUCAGAUUCUCACCAAUGCUGAUAGAGGAUAGAUUACAGUGAGAAAGCAAGGUAUUGGGAGAUUGAGUAGCUAUAGAAUUUAGCUAUUAUGACGACAAUGGUGAUUGUGAGGAUUGUAGAUUAUUAUGGUUUCUUCUGACUGCCCUGGCCAAAAGAACAAAAGAAAAAGAAACUUACAGCUUUAAACUUCCAUGUUACGGUAGAAGUGGUGGACAGUCAAAUCUCUAUGGUCACCUUAAAGAAGUGCUUUAUCUCAUCUAGCUGCAAGACCAGCAUAGUUGUGAUUAGGCCCAUAGCUAUAAUGUCAGUUAAAUGUGCAACCCACCAGGUCUUUAAUGCUAAGGGUUCAGCAUUAAAGUUAUGAGGAGAGAAGCAGCUAGUUCAGCUGGGUCAUCAUGAAAGUCCAGGAGAAGCAAGAUGAAAAGAAAGAAAAUUAAUGACAAAACAAAGGAGGAAAACCUCCCAGCAGAGAGACGCUGGUGAAAAGCAGUUUGCAACACUGGCCAAUGAUAUAUCUUGGGGAAAAUUUUGCCACAAGUAUUUGCUAUAGCUACUGAAUUUAAUUAAAGUGGCCUUGUUGACCAAAACCACAAUCCACUAUUAAAUAUUUGUGUGAAAAGCACUGGAAAUGAGAUACGUAUUUUGUAAUAACCAUGACAAGCUUUUUAAAAAAGAAAUAACAAACCUGCACGUUAUGCACAUGUACCCUAGAACUUAAAGUAUAAUAAUAAUAAUAAAUAAAAAAUAAAAAAAUAAAAAAAAUAAAAAAAGAAAUAAAACAUGUUUACACAAAAACCUAAAAAAAAAAAAAAAAGAAAUAAAACAUGCUUACACAAAAACCUAAAAAAAUAAAUAAAUAAAUAAUAAGUACAUUCAUGGGAAAAGGGUAGCUGCUGCCAUAUUUGCCACAGUGAGGGCCCUCUACUUGCUCCAUCGAAGCAAUUUACUUCAAUUAUAAUUGGAAUUUCAUUUGGUUUUCUUUAGACACAAUUAUCUAUUGAGAAAUAUUUGUUAUAUAUAUGCCAGAUUCUGGGCUAGGGAAGUCAAGACAUGUACACAAAUAAUUAUAAUACAUGACGAAAUGCAAUUGCGAUUAGAAGACUGUGAGCUAUAUUCAAUACCAAGAAUAUAGCUCUUGGUAUUGAAUUAUGACACCAAGAAGUAGAAGGCACUCUCUAGAAAGGACUCUUCACUGACUGUCAGACAGAUGCCAGGGGAGGCCUAACUGCAUAAUAGCUAAGCACAUAGACUUGGGAACCAGGCAAACCUGGAUUCAACCUAUCUUUGCAAAUAAUCAGUUGCAUUGUCUGGGACAAGUUUAUUGCUUCUCAAAGAUAUAAUUGCCUCGUGCAUAAAAGGGAGAAAAAAUGCUGCUUACUUCACAGGUUGCUUAUGAAGAUUAACUAAAAUAAUCUACAUGGUGCCUUGUCCACAGCAGUGCUAAAGAAAUAGUCCUACUAGUAUUAUUGAGCUUGGUGUAUCUGUUAGGAUUAUCUGGUUUAAUCAAUAGAGACUGACUUUGGCUAAUAUAAGCAAACAAACAAAUAAAAAGAAAUUGAUUCGUACUGUCAACCAAGUAACAGAGAGGGGCUUUCUAAUAGAAAAGAUAUUUAU